GACCCAAGAGAAGUUUACAAGCGACUUUACGACUCCAUCCAUGUAAGCGUUAAAAAUCAGAUUGAGCAGAGGUUUCAAAAUCUUGAAUGUAUGAGGUUUAUGGAGCUUCUAGAUUUUGACCUAUAUGACUCCUACAAAAAAGAGUUUCCACAGGCAGCAUUCACAAGUCUGAAAGAUAACUAUGGUCAUUUAUUCGAUAUGGUAAAACUGAAGUCAGAACUGCAGGUGUUUUACAAUAACAAGGACCUCCAGGGCAGCGCUAGGUUGUGUGAUUCACUGUGCGCAAUGAAAACCAAUGAACUGAGCGAAGCAAUGCCUGAACUGUACAGACUAAUGUGUCUCGUUGCCUCUAUCGGGGCUACGUCUGCCGGGGUGGAGAGAAGUUUCUCUUGUCUGAAAAGACUGAAAACGUAUGCAAGGAACACAAUCGGACAAGAUCGACUGAGGAGCUUGGCUAUCAUCGCACUUGAAAGAAGGAUUCUAAAAUCUCUUAGAGAGAAUCCACAGUGGUAUGAAAAGACCAUAGACAUCUUUGCAGCACAAACAAACAGGAGAAUGGACUUUACUUUUAAGUAGGCCUAAAUUAUUUUUCUAGGCCUAGGCUAUAUUUCAUUUUCUUUUGUACUUUUUUUUUAAUUGUUGAAGGGAAACAAAAAGCAGAGACAAGACCGUUUUUGCAAUCAACGUUACAGUUUUUUUUAAAUCUGGGGAUGGAUGGCUGAGUUGGACACGUUCUGGAUCCACACGACCUUAGAUGAAGCCAGCUGCAACCCGUAGAGUGGAGUCGUGGAGAGAGCCCCUCGCCCCUCAGCUAAACCAGAGUAAAUGAAGCCAGCACCAACCUGUGGAGUGGAGUCCAGGAGAGAGCAUGCCGCCCCUCAGCUAAACCAGAUCAGAUAAAGCCAACUGGAACCAUAUUUUUACAUAUUUUAUAUUAAAUAUAUUGAAUAAAACUACAUAUGAUAAAGAAAGUGUUAUCUUAUCUUUUUUAUAUGCUAAACUUGAUUAAAUUGGUGAUUACAUGUUGAAGCUGUAGAAGAAUGAAAAAUGUAAGCUAAACAAAAUUGUUUUUAACUACAUAAUUAAAAUUCCUGCCUUUUACACAUGUUCACUUGGCGUUUAUAUAACAUCCAAAUGUCAUUUCUCAGCUUAAUUAUCAGGCAGGCUCAUAGACUUACAGCAAUGUAAUUUCUUCAGGAAGGCACAAGGCUAAGCUCUGCACAAUGAAUUGCAUCAGCAAGAACUUUCUGACUGUAGCUUACACUCCAAAUAGUAUGCCUUUGGCCAGCACAAAGACAGAUAAGAGAACAGGGAACAUUCCAUCGCGA